AAUUAGGGUUCAACAAUCUGUAAUCUUUAGCCCAAUAUUCUUCUUGGGAUUGGUGGUGGAAAAAUUAAAACAUUAAAAAUAAAAAAUAAAAAAGGACUUCCAAAUCUCCUUAUAUAAGCCCCUCCCUCCCCAUCCCUUAAUGCUACACCUUUCUCCCUCUCUGCGCCCGAUCUGCACUUCUCUUCCAGCUCUAAUUUUCUCUCCCUUUUCUCCCUCCGAUCUUGAUUUCCUUCCUAGGGUUUUGUUUCUUAUUUUUAUUGGAUUGAAGCUUCCGAGCAUCUUAUGAUCUACUCGAUCGCAUGGGGUACGCCUAAUAUUGAUGACCCUCAUCGUAUCCUUCCACAGCUUUCUUGAACUGCAUCGAUCUAUGAGCGGCUCGCUAGCUCUUUGCAUGCAGAGAUACCAUCUUUGAUCUCUUCUUUGCGGUUCAAUAAAGCUGUGGGAUGAUACAGACAGGGUCAAGAAAGUCCAAGAUCUUGGCUUCGGUAUUGUUACUGAUAUGUUAAUGCUUCUUUUGUGAUCAUCAAGAAGUACCUGUAAUGCAUUGAAAUAUGUCUGCGAUCUUAGCUAGCUCUUUAAAUGAUGUGUGGCGGAUGCUUUGUUUAUACUUAAUUGUAUAUAUACUUUUUGCACAGUACUCAUAUUGGAGGAAGUAUUAUGGAAGUAUAGAUCCCUCAGAACCCUUAUGCCCGAGAUGUCUUUGUUUUAGGAUACUAAACUCAUCUUAUUUUCCAUAGAAAAAGACGAAUCAUGAAAGACAGAAACCCAAUUCGAAUUACACUCACACAUGUGGAUCCGAUCCAGUUGCAGAAUAUAUAUCACUAUUAUUUGAACUCACUCGAUCGAUCGAUUUAUUACUUGGCGUGACUUUAUGGGUUUGGCAUUUUCGUUGGAGCUUUAUUUUAUGGUGUUGAACUUGCAUAAUAUUACUGCUCGUGCAGAAGUAUGCAAUAAUCCUUACAUCUCUCUCUCUCUCUCACUGGUAUGUGUUUGUGUGGAAAUAUCAUCUCUAAGUAGCUUUUCCCAAUGUGGGUUUUUAUACAGAUAUAACAAUUCUUUAUCUCUUUGUGUUAAUUCUUCUUUUCUUCUGUUGUUAAUAUGAUCAAUGUUGUUUUGGGUUUCUCUAUAAUUGAUUGGGCUCCUUCACUUUAUAGCUAGUGUUCCUACGUAUAAGUUAAAUUGCAGGAAAAAAAAAAUACCACUUGUAGAUGAAACAUGAGGCGGCAUGCACUUGGCAUUUCUGAAUUAAAUGCUAUAGAUUGAUCAACAUGGUAACUACUGAUCAGUCGUUAUACAUCAAAUGCAACCAAAAAGUAAUGUUCAGUCUUUUAAUUCAUUCUUACCUAAAUUCAACUACACAUUACCUGUUUAAAAAAAAAAAAAAACUUUCAAGAUCGAAUUCUUUGUUUCUUAACAUUAAUAUAUAAAUCGUACAAUUUUUUGUUUAAAAAAAAAAAACUUUCAAGAUCGAAUUCUUUGUUUCUUAACAUUAAUAUAUAAAUCGUACAAUUUUUUAUUUUCCUUUUGAUCAGUAACUUUCGGUGUAGUACUUUAACCAAAUUAGGGUUCUUUUCAAUAUAUAUUUGUAAUGGUCAUCCCGGACUGUAUAUAUAUUAUGUUCAAGUUGAUCUUCUAAGUACAGUACUUAUAAGAAGUACAAUAAGAGAAUUUUUCUAUCACUAGCUAGCUAGCUAUAUAUAUACCUAUAAGUUAGAAGGAAUAAAUCAUUUUGGUCCCACUAAAAUGAGACUAAACUCUAUCGUUAGGUGAAGCUUAAUUUUAUGAAGAAUUGUAGAGGCUGCUUUUAUGAAAAAUGCAGAAGCAUGCAGCUUGUUGAAGGAAAAUAGGGUUUCCUCUUCUACAAUUAGGUAAAGUCAUCAUGAACUAUAUUGAAGGAAAAGGCCGUCCACUUGCACGAAACAUAUAUAUAGUUGUUUGGGUUUGUUAAGGCUAGCUAGCUGGUCAUCAGAUCGAUGUUCCUAGAUGAUCAUGAGAUAUAUGUCUGAAUUUUCAUGCUCUUGGAAAUUAAUAGAGAUCAGCUGAAAAAGGUUUUUAUGGUAUAAAACUAGUACUGGCCUGAAGAUAUUACUGCAGGUCCCAACUUCUCGCCAGGAGCCUGAAGAUAUUACUACUAUUCUUGAGCCCUAGAAAAUGAUGAUCAGAUCAUGUUAUGCGAGACAUUGACAUCCGACCAAUUAAAGCUAGCUGCAGCGUGCACAAGUGUUUAUUGUCAAAUAACUGGCGUCUGUCUUUCAUGAUGCUCUGGAGAUAUAUAUAUAUAUAUAUAUAUACACAUAGCUAGGUGGUUCAGGCCGGUAUAUAUAAUACAGAUGGCGCACUCACGAGAAAUUGAAUACAUCCAAUUAAUAAGCCAGCGAUGGAGAGUACUUUUAACCCUUCUAGCUUUUAAAAGAUAUCGCUCGGAUCUGAUCACAAUAUAUAACGUACCCAACCACUUUAAUUAUAGGAUUCAUGUCUUGGUGUCGGCCGCUAGCCAAUCAAAUACGCAAUAUUUCUGCUAAUCGCUUUUUCCUUCAUUUGCUAGCUGUUGUUUUAUGGAUAAUAUUCUUAAUAUUUUAAUUAUAAUCAAUCAACUCAUGUCUGAGCACGAAGUGCUCCUUUUUUCUCUACUUUUUUUUUUUUGGUCUUCUGGAUUUAUUUGUUUUUAGAAGCUCGAUCGACUUGAUGAAUUAUUGCUGCUAAUUAUUAAUUAAUGACUUUCUUUUAUAUAUAUAUAUAUAAAGGCCAUCACGCCUGGCAUGGUGGUAGUUUUCACUAACGUACCAUACUAUUGAAGGCAUUUAUUAAAGAUCGAAGAAAUUAAAUAUGGGAUGAUCAUGAUCAAGUACUAGUGAUCAUGAUCAUCUUCGACAAAUCAAAGUGGGUUGGUUGCUUGUCACUGAUCAUCAUGAUGAUCUAGCUAGAUCAAAAAGAAGGGAUUUAUGGCUCAUCUUUUCCACCUUGUCUCUCUUUAAUUUAUUUAGUCUUUCCGUGGAGGAAUUAAUGCAUGAUAUGAUCUAAUUAACCCUGAUCAUGAUGCUCGUGGUCGAUCGUUCCAGCUGCAUAUAUGCAGAAGCAAGUGCAUGCAUGGGUGAUUUGCGUUUCACAAUGAAUGCAUAUUAUAUGCUAGUACGGUGCAAGCUGCAUGCACGCCUAGAUCGAUGAUGAUGAUCAGUCUAGUACUUCGUAUAUAUCAUGCCGGCCGGCCGACUACUGCAUGUACGAAGACGUUAUUGCUAAGUGGACAAUGACUCAUAUUUUAGUGUUUCCAAAUUGUCUCAUGCAUCUUUUUCCCUAUCUUUUGUAAAGUAAUUAAAUUAAUAAAUUAAACAGCCUUUUAGAGUACUACUCCAAAAA